GGUUUAGGUAAAGGUCACUAAAUGCAAAGGUUCAUUAAAAACUCUGUCCAACAUAUGUCAUGGGCUAUAGCUAGUGGCAGUAACAAACCCACUGUUAUGAUGCUGAUAGUUAUAUAGCUGUAUAAAGACCAGUCAGUUAUUUAAUAAAAACAACAUAUGGAGAGAAGCGAAGUCUUUGUCUAUAUUGUCAUUUGGGAUAUGAACAAAAAGUUCAUAACUGUCAAAGGACACACUAAGAAAAAUAAUAAAAAAAAUGAUAUAAAUCAAUGACACAAUAACACCAAUGAAUAAGCAGUAUCUAAUUGCUGCUGUUCAUUUCAAAUUAACACAUAGGCAUAAAGCACAAAACUAAAUCUCUCGUCUCUAUGACAGUUUCUAUACCAUCUCUGGCACUGGUUAGAACGGAAAAAAGGUGUAUGAUAAAAAGUUCGAACGUUGAGGAUAAAGUUGAAAUAACCUGAAAAAGAUAUGACAAAAAAAAUAUCAAAAGGCAAACAGUAUACAAAAUACAACAUUAAAACUAAAGACUGAGAAAAGCAAACUCCACUAUACACUGGGCUGAUCUCAGGUGUGACGGAAGCGUAAGCGGACCCUGCUCCAUAGUUGGUACCCGUCGUGCUUCUCUUUCUAGUAUAGACCUAUUGGGUAUAUAGUAAUUUUGUUUUACAGAUCGUCAAUGGGUAUUAAAAGUAACAGGCUUCAAAUCACAAUGGGAUGACAAUGGAUGGGCAGCAGCUCAAGUUAUAGGACCACCUAAUGUGUAUCCACAAUAUGGUGACAUCGAAGGAUCUUGGUGUUCGAAAGGACAAUCAUCUGAUCAUUAUAUAACGAUUGAAUAUUCGAAGAAAACAUAUAUUCAGAGUAUUAAUAUAUAUGAGACAUAUAAAGGCGGGUCGGUUUGGAGAAUAAGUUUUAAAGCCCCAAAUGGGAGUUGGCAUACUGUAUGGGAAGUUAACAGAGCUACUCUAUCGACUGUAACAAGUAGCAGAAUUUUCUCUCCACACAUUCAGACUGUUACCUUCCCUGCAAAUGAAGUUCAGAUUGAGAUUGAUACAACAAAUACUCACGAAGAUUAUGAAAUGGAUGCAAUAGAAAUAACAGGACAAUGCUGAUUGAAACGACAAAAUAUUAUAAUUUAUUAUUACCAAUUGUAUCUA